AAAUUGUUUUGUUUUAUCAAGCCGAUGCGUUCUAUAAUGGGAGUACGUCACUACGUUCGCUCAGUUAAUAUGUGUGCCAUCUUUGACGUAGACACAGCCCAAGAUUUUGAAAUGCGUGUGAAGCGCAGCGAAAAGCCCGUUAUUGCGGACUUCCAUGCCGGCCGAUGCGUUCUAUAAUGGGAGUACGUCACUACGUUCGCUCAGUUAAUAUGUGUGCCAUCUUUGACGUAGACACAGCCCAAGAUUUUGAAAUGCGUGUGAAGCGCAGCGAGAAGCCCGUUAUUGUGGACUUCCAUGCCGGGUGGUGCGCGCCCUGCAAACUGUUUGGCCAAAGUGGAUAUCGAUGAGCACAGCGAACUGGCCUUGUACUACAAAGUAGGUGCGGUUCCAUCCAACUACAGAUGCCAUCCGCGAUUGGAUUAACCAAGCUGUGAAGAGUCGGAAGAAGGUAAGGCGCGUGGAGGAAGACGACGAUGAGGACACUGAGUACUCGUAGAUUGGCUGACAUUUCUACCACAUUUGACUAUGAAAAUCAUGUUGGAAAAAGAUCAAUGGGUUGAAAAUACACUAGAAAACGCGUAUAUUUAUCAUUAAA